AUACCCUCGGCCACACCUGGCCUUCUCCAUGCUCGGAAUAACUUCCUGCAGCGACCAACAGGCUAAAGAGGGGGAAGGUCUGGAGGGAUCCAGCACCGGCUCCUCCUCCGGCAACCACGGUGGGAGCGGCGGAGGAAAUGGACAUAAACCCGGGAACUCUGAGACGUCUCCUGGGAUGUUUAACUUUGACACUUUCUGGAAGAAUUUUAAAUCCAAGCUGGGUUUCAUCAACUGGGAUGCCAUAAACAAGAACCAGGUCCCGCCCCCCAGCACCCGAGCCCUCCUCUACUUCAGCCGACUCUGGGAGGAUUUCAAACAGAACACUCCUUUCCUCAACUGGAAAGCAAUUAUUGAGGGUGCGGACGCGUCAUCACUGCAGAAACGUGCAGGCAGAGCCGAUCAGGUGAGUCUCUGUCCUCAGGUUACCCUGCAGGGCCCUUGGUCCCCCUUGGCCUUGCUCCCGGGUCUGGGCAAUCUGAAAUUCUCUUUCACUCCUCCAUUCAAUGGCUUUCUCAGCCGGGUGCAGGAUGGCAGGAUGUGGCAGCUGUAACUUCCAAGGUGAGACAUCUACCAUGGACCCGCUGGGUUACGUCCUGGCACUUCUUUUCUUGGUCUCCUACCCUCACCUCCCAAGUAACACUUGAAGAGUUGGGAGAGGUCUUGAGGGCAGGAGGAGGAGUAGGAGGAGGAGGCGGUGGCCAUUUGGGCUAGGACAGUAAAGGCAGGUGAGGGUGGGGGCCCUGGCUGGCUGGAGGAGAUUGUAUAAAAGAAAACACGUGACACAAGGAGGGGAGAAGGCAGGUGUUUUAGGAAAGGUCUGGUCCAGGCAGGAAGGUGGGAUGUUUAUUCCA
rnacentral:sRNA from 1 species